rnacentral:ncRNA from 1 species
CAGAGUAGACCGAGGCGCGUACGGUCAAGCGAAAGGCUUGACCCAGUGCCGUGCGGACGGGGAGUUGCCGCACGGACGAAGGGAGUUCUCCCGCGGUGCGUCGGUCGCAUCCCGCUGU